AGAACUUGUGAGGGUCCAAACAGAGACAAAUCCUGAGCUUUUUCUUCAUUUCUAUUUGAGAUGUAUUAAUAUUAUAUGAGUCAGUGGCAAAGGUGGUGGAAUGUAGACCUUGCUAAAGCACCCGUCCAGUCACAGUGAAUUUGCACCACUAAAUGCAGCCAAUGUCUGAACACCUUCUCCUUUGCAGAUGGACAAGCUGGUAGAGAAUCAAGGGCAAAUAAAAAGGUGAUUGUAAGAAGGAGGAAAAGAAAGAUAAAGGUGAAAACUGGAAAAGAAAACAAAUGGAGAAGGGGAUCACAGGCAAUAAGCGGAUUCAAGGAUUCACAGAAACAAAGCAAGUAUGUAUAGCUGCUCUAAAGAAACAACUGGUGUUGCAAAGAUGAGGUCCUUAUUUUUUGCCUGAUGUUUGUGGCAUUCUUCAAAGAUGAUGUCAGGUAUAUGAGAAAACACUUUGUGGUAUAUAGUUUCUCAUAUUUCUAAACUCCUCACAAAGACAACCAAAUUUUAUUCAAACAAUAAUGUGACAACACUAAACUUUUCAUAUGUGCUUUUAUGCAUGUACACAUGUCCUGUCAUAAAUUCUUACUGGAAACAUGAAUUUUG
rnacentral:lncRNA from 1 species